GGGAAGGUGGCUCAGUGGUAGAGCGCUUGUCUUGCAUGCAUGAGGCCCUGGGUUCAAUUCCUCACUACCA
rnacentral:tRNA from 1 species